rnacentral:lncRNA from 1 species
AUGCGGCAUGUUCUCAUAUGGCACUGUUCUGGGCUUUCAUCUGAACCAUCUUCGCAGUCAGGAUCUCCAUCACACUUCCAUCGGCUGGGAACACACUGGCCAUUGUUGCACACGAAGUCAGAUUCAGCACACGUCUUCUUUACUACAUUCUUUUCAUCACUGCCGUCAACACAGUCUUCAUCCCCAUCACAUUUCCACAACAGCGUAAUACAGCGACCAUUUGUGCACUGGAAUUGGGAGGGUUCACAUUUGGCUUUUCUCCCUAGAGUUCCGGUGGCGCCGCUCUCCCGGGGCGCCCAGCACAGCGCGAGCAGCAGCCAGAGCGCCCAGAGCGCGGACGUGCCCAUGGUGCCCGCCUGGAUGGUGCCGCCGCCGCCGCCGCCGCCGCCGUUCGCUCCGCACGACAAGUUACCAGUCCUUCCGAAAGGAGGAAGAAGGUGGGGGCGG